GGCCUACGGGAGGCAGCAGUGGGGAAUAUUGGACAAUGGGGGCAACCCUGAUCCAGCCAUGCCGCGUGAGUGAAGAAGGCCUUCGGGUUGUAAGGCUCUUUCAGAUGUGAAGAUGAUGACGGUAGCAUCAGAAGAAGCCCCGGCUAAUUUCGUGCCAGCAGCCGCGGUAAU
rnacentral:rRNA from 1 species